rnacentral:misc_RNA from 1 species
UCAGACAAUCGCUGGUGAGGUAGCUCACGAGAGGAAAGUCCGGGCUCCAUAGGGCAGGAUGCUGGAUAACGUCCAGUCAACGCAAGUUGAAGGAUAGUGCCACAGAAAUGGACCGCCGAUGGCCGCUUGCGGCACAGGCAAGGGUGGAACCGUGGUGUAAGAGACCACGAGGAACGCUGGUGACUUCGUUCCUGGUAAACCCCAUCUGGAGCAAGACCUAAUGAGACACAUGCCCUGCGAAGGGCAGCCUUAGCCCGAGGUGUGUCUGGGUUG